rfam:Gossypium arboreum cultivar AKA8401 contig_57513_3, whole genome shotgun sequence.
GCGGGGAUAGCUCAGUUGGGAGAGCGUCAGACUGGAUAUCUGAAGGUCAUGUGUUCGAUCCACGAUGACCGCA